rnacentral:rRNA from 1 species
CCUUUGACGUUAGCGGCGGACGGGUGAGUAACACGUGGGUAACCUACCUAUAAGACUGGGAUAACUUCGGGAAACCGGAGCUAAUACCGGAUAAUAUUUGAACCGCAUGGUUCGAUAGUGAAAGGUGGUUUUGCUAUCACUUAUAGAUGGACCCGCGCCGUAUUAGCUAGUUGGUAAGGUAACGGCUUACCAAGGCGACGAUACGUAGCCGACCUGAGAGGGUGAUCGGCCACACUGGAACUGAGACACGGUCCAGACUCCUACGGGAGGCAGCAGCA